AAUUUCUUUUAAUGGAAUAUGCCAUCUUUUAGCAAAGCCAUAAAUAUUUCCUUACAAGAAAUCCUUUUUUCACUGUCUUUAGGGCUGUCUCAAGUAUCUCAAUUCCCUGCACUCUUUCGGGGGUCCCGCUCCCCAAGGUCACCCAGCUGCUGUAUUUUUCUAUUGCAUCACAAAGAGGAUUUCCUAUCUCAGUAAU